rnacentral:rRNA from 1 species
GACGAACGCUGGCGGCGUGCCUAACACAUGCAAGUGGAGCGACGAACCAGACUUCGGUCUGGGGCCAAGCCGCGAACGGGUGAGUAACACGUGGGUAACCUGCCCCGAUGAUCGGGACAACCCGGGGAAACCCGGGCUAAUACCGAAUGUGGUCGCGGUCCGUGAGGACCGUGACGAAAGGAAGCUUCGGCCUCCGCAUCGGGGUGGGCCCGCGGCCCAUUAGCUUGUUGGUGGGGUAAUGGCCUACCAAGGCAUCGAUGGGUAGCUGGUCUGAGAGGACGAUCAGCCACACUGGGACUGAGACACGGCCCAGACUCCUACGGGAGGCAGCAGUGGGGAAUCUUGCGCAAUGCGCGAAAGCGUGACGCAGCAACGCCGCGUGGGGGAAGAAGGCUCUCGGGUCGUAAACCCCUUUCAGUUGGGACGAAGCUUCGCCGGUGAAUAGCCGGCCGGAGUGACGGUACCUUCACAAGAAGCCACGGCUAACUACGUGCCAGCCGCCGCUGUAAAAC